rnacentral:rRNA from 1 species
CAGCCGCCACGGGAAUACGGAGGGUGCAAGCGUUACUCGGAAUUACUGGGCGUAAAGCGUGCGUAGGUGGUGGUUUAAGUCCGUUGUGAAAGCCCUGGGCUCAACCUGGGAAUUGCAGUGGAUACUGGGUCACUAGAGUGUGGUAGAGGAUAGUGGAAUUUCCGGUGUAGCAGUGAAAUGCGUAGAGAUCGGAAGGAACAUCUGUGGCGAAGGCGACUAUCUGGGCCAACACUGACACUGAGGCACGAAAGCGUGGGGAGCAAACAGGAUUAGAUACCCGUGUAGUCCCUGUCUCUUAUAC